ensembl:lincRNA
AUGACUUUAUCCCCCAAAUUGGAUUUGGAACAUCCCACAGUUCUUCCACCCGCUCCAAGGCGGCAUUCUUGGUUUCCGCAUCUUCCAGCAGAGCCCCCACGUCAAACACGUUGUCUAGGUAAGCCUGAAUCUGUACUUGCAGCUUGUCACUCUCUGUGUGUUUCAGCUUCUAAACACCAAAAUUCCAGAGAAGAUAGUAUUCAUUUAUCUGUGGACACAGACUGUAAUUAUCCAACCCUCUACUCAUUCUGUUGCAAGUAUCCUACUUUUCCCCACCUGAGUUUAACACAUCAUCCUCAAGAGAAUUACAGCACAUCCCUAUGAAGAAGGUAUGGCCAGACCAUAUCCCAGAUACACAUACACAUGCAUUCAUGCAACAUUUACACGCAUGUACGUCCCUCAAAUCCUUCCUACUCUAGCCUAAAAUAUAUAUAUGUAAAAUCAAGACCACAGAGGCAUUAAAGGAGGAUUUGAAAUGGAAUAGCUACAAGCCCUGUGAAAAUCUUCAUAACCCCUAAGGGUGUUAUGAAGAAGAGUAAAGUGGGGGACAUCUUACCAGGGCUGUGAUUGGUGGCUGGGGACAGAGUACAGCUAGGAGCUACCAGUUGUAUUCAUAUCUAACGUUGGGUUAUUUCAGUCCACAGUGCUAGAAGACCCCAUGCAGGAUUCAAUUCCUAAGAUGGUGCCUUAGGAACAGCUCAGGGAUUCCCAAAGCAUGAAUCAGAAAGUGUCUUCCAGUUCAAGGGUCCCAGAACAAGGGACCUAAAGCAACCCAGCUAGCUAUUUCUCAGGGGACAUUAGAGGCUGAAAAAAAUCAGACAAUCCGCCCAUGGGGCACAUUAUGACUUUCUCUGGGGAAAUAUCAGACCAGAAUAAUAUCCAGCACAUAGAUGAUGCCAGUAAGUUAACAAGAAUAUCAAUGACCACUUGCAAAGAAGGCUGCCUUUGAAAACAAAUAAAAUAUUUAUAUGUUAGAUGCAUAGAAUAUUUUUCUUCUAAUGAUCUCUGUCCAUCAGGGUCCAGCAAGAAUAUAACACAAUUAAAGAAGUACAGGGUUAGGGGGUUGGUAUUUUAUUUAUUUAUUUAUUUAUUUAUUUAUUUAUUUAUUUAUUUAUUGCACAGUGUUCUGUCUGCAUGUAUGCCUGUAGGCCAGAAGAGGGCACCAGAUCUCAUUACAGAUGGUUGUGAGCCACCAUGUGGUUGCUGGGAAUUGAACUUAACCUCUGGUUAAGAGCACCAGCUAGUGCUCUUAACCUCUGAGCCAUCUCUCCAGCCCCAGGGGGUUGGUAUUUUUAAGAGAAAUUUCGGAUAACAUAAUUUCUGAAGGAAAAUGAGUUUUCUCUUAGGCUUAAGUUGAAAUUCUACAGUCUAACUUGUUUUAAAGAGAGUACAUUCACAUGGGAAAGGGAAAAUAAAAGCUUCCUGACAAAGAGGGGCAUAUAUCUAGUGGACACAAAGGUCCUGGAGUACAUCUAUGACUACCACUUAUACAUUCUGUUCCUUUAUUGAAGAACUUCAGGGAAAUGGCCUGGCACUUCUGUGAGGCAGCAAGAAAAGAAACUAAACUCCUUUCUCCCAAGAAGUGAAAGCAAGGGUUCUAGAGCAGCAAACAUGUUUAGCAGAAUUAACAGCUGCAGGAGGAAGUCUACAGUGUCCAUUUCCUCACUUCAUUUUUGUGCUCUAAGCAUUAAUGCAUUCUACACCAUACUUGGCUUGAUCAUGCCUGCUCAGAUGGGGUCUCAAUAGUGCCCCAAAAUAAGUUUUUUUUCCAGUUUUGAUGAAGGAUGCAAUGAGACUUGAUCUAGACAGAGCUCAGAAAUGAAGUAAAGUUGUAACAAUGCUCCCAGAGGCUGUCUGACUCCAGUACUAAAGGGCUGCAGGCCGUGGACCCACAGAUGUCCCAGGAAUUCUGUAUUGAAUCCAACUUUACUGGCAAACUGUAUCAUUCAAAUUGGUUCCCUUUAACAAGCACGACAAUCGUUAACCUCACAGUGCUUCAGACAUUCUGAUGUUACUAUGAAGUGAACCUCAGAGAACAGGAGAUAAACCCAUUCUUAAAAAUGGCCCCCCAAAAGAUUGUGAUACUCACGUCCAGGUAUUCAUCCAGGCCCAACUUGGUAAAUUCAUAUUGGAGGUGAACUCUGAAGUUCAUAUCUUCUACUGAAUGGACUACAAUAUUAAUAAAUUGCAUAGAAGCCACCUGAAAUGAAAUUUCCAAGGGGUUAAAUUGGCUCCAAGUGCUUUCUCCCAAUUUAAGCAUUUCAAGAACACACACUUCAUUUCAUGAGUCUCAAUUUACACUAAUUCCUUUUUCUUUGACGUCACUAAAUCUUCAAAGAAAAAAUCUUGUAAGUUUUAAUAAAAGGAAUCAAAGAGGCACCACAAGACACUACUUCACAGUCACUUAGAAUGGCUAUAAUUUUUAAAACGUAAAUGAUAUUGGCAAAGAUGUAGGGGAAAAAAAAAACAACCUUCUCACUUUGCUAGUGAGAAUGUAAAAUGAUACAGCCACUUUGAAAACAUGAGUUACUCAAAAUGUUAAGCACCAUGUUUGUCAUAUGGCUUAACAAUUCAAUUGCCUAAGAGAAAUAAAGAAACUUGUUCACAUA